rnacentral:rRNA from 1 species
GACGUAGGGGGCAAGCGUUGUCCGGAUUUAUUGGGCGUAAAGAGCUCGUAGGCGGGCUGCCAAGUCCGGGGUGAAAUCUUUCGGCCCAACCGGAAAAGUGCCUUGGAUACUGGCGGCCUGGAGGGAGGCAGGGGCGGAUGGAACUUCCGGUGGAGCGGUGGAAAUGCGUUGAUAUCGGAAGGAACGCCGGUGGCGAAAGCGAUCCGCUGGACCUCUCUGACGCUGAGGCGCGA